GGUAUCGCCAAGUGGUAAGGCACCGGGUUUUGAUCCCGGCAUUCGUUGGUUCGAAUCCAGCUACCC
rnacentral:tRNA from 1 species